CUACUAAAGAUUAAUUUCAUUGUCUUCUCCAAACAUUUGCCAGGCCGCCAUUUUUUUGUAUUCUUCUUCUUCCGUCCUACAACUUUUUUCUUUAUCAUUCUUUCAUUCCGUUCUCGAACCGAUUCUGACACACGACAUUGGCUUUUACAGUCCGAUAUCGCUACCACUAGACCACUUCCUCGCUGUUGGAAACCUACCGCAACUUAUUCACCUUAACCUUUUUUCC